rnacentral:lncRNA from 1 species
UUUUUUUUUAGUUUCGGUUUUUUCAGUUUUUUUUUUAAAUGAUGUAAAUGGAAGGAACCUACCUAUCAACCUCCCAGUUCUCAUAUAUCACAGAAACAUAAUGUACAUUGCCAUGAUUCAUAAUUAUAAAACUUUAAAAUUUACAAAAUCAUGAAAUAAUUCAACAAAUUAAUUGAUCGAUGCAGAUCGAAACAAAAAAAAAGAAAAUGGGUUCGUCUAAAUGCCAUAAUCGGACUCCAAUAUCGCAUGCCCAGUGCCCACAUUCAAAUUCAUAGUCAAGUCCACAAUAGAUCUAGAAAAUUCCAGAACAUAUUCAGAGAAAAAUACUAACUUUUUCACCUUAAAUUACAUAAAUUUCAAAUGGCUAACCAUAAAAUUAAAAACCAAUGAACUGACAAAUAAAUAAAACCCACAAUCUUUGCUGCAACGAUAUCACCAUAAUCGUCACAAGCUCUUACAAUUCCUCUUUUCGUCAGGUCUCGUCGGGUCUCCAAAGGGGUGAGGGAAAAUCAUGGUUUGGAAGAAGGAAUCCACGAGGAGGACAUGAGAAGACUGGAAAGAGAGUGAUUUGGAGAGAGAGAGAGAAUGAGGAAGCAAAGGCAGAGAGGAAGCAGCGGACAGAACCGAGAUAAAUGUUUGAGAUCUGAAAUGAAAUAAGAGUGAAACGACUAGGGUUUGUAAAGUUAAGAAAUUUUAUAAAGCAUUAAACAUAAGAAACCUAUAAAUAAUUUACUGGUACAAUUAUAAUAAUAUAAAGCCUAUAGUCAAGUUGGCUUGCAG